UCUCUAGGGUGGGCUGCCUGCCCUGGCUGAGCUGGAUUAAAUCGGUGCUCUAUUGGGUGGGGCAGACUCUGGGCUAGCAGGCCUCAGGGAGAACUCCAAUGGCGUCUGUGUCAGCUCGCCCACACCAGGCCACAACAAUGGCUGCCGCCAAUGUCCCAGUCCCUGGAGAGGUCUUGCCUCUCACCGAGAUGCACUCAGGGCCUAUUAGGUUUCUCUCACCUGUCUGACAAGGCCAAAUUCCCCAGUUCCAUGGCAUGGACUCCAGACUGUUGCUUGGGAAUUAAAUGAAACAGCCUAUUUGGUCUCAGGCAUUUUCUCAUUUGAUCUCUGAAAUCGUUUUAUUUCUAAAGAUAAGUAAAUGCAUGAAAGGAAAGCUUCAGAAGGCAAAAUGAUUAUUUGACUAAAGCAUAUAUGAAAUGUCCUCCUUAUCUAAGGAAUACCUGCACAAGAAGAUUUGUUCAACUAGCUGUGAAGAGGAUAAAAUUUUCUGUAUAUUGCUGCACAAGGAAGAAUUAUAUUGCAUCUACAUAUCACUAAAAUUACCAACAGGUUCUGAAAAUGACAUCUAUUCCAAACAUGAUAGACCUUUUAAAUGAGAAAACUGAAUAAAAACACACUAUGUAAAACUGAAAUCUGAACCUUCAUCUGACAUUCUUAUUUUCCACUCUCUUUACCCCUAUCAGAAAACACCUCUGCUCUACAGAGGCCCUUUUCUUCUUGUUCCUCAAACAUGUUAAGUUUAUUCAAGCUCCAUUUCCACCUCCACUCAUUCUCUCAGGAUUCUCCCUUUACCCAGUAUGGCGUUCAGUUCUUCUUUAGCUUUUCUAAACUCCACCAUCCUUUCAAGCUCAGCUCGAGUCCCUGCAUGAGGUUUUUGGGGUUAUUCUGUCCCGCAAUGACUUUUCUUUCUCUGACGUCUUAUGGUGUGGAUAAUCUGUUUCAACCAAGUUAGCAUUAGUAUUAAGAAUGUUUAUUUCUGUUUCCCCAACAGAGUCAAAUUUCUUUAGGUGAAGAACCUGGCAUAGCGUUAGGACUGAUUAU